rnacentral:rRNA from 1 species
AUUGAACGCUGGCGGAAUGCUUUACACAUGCAAGUCGAACGGUAGAGGGGGCAACCCCUCGAGAGUGGCGAACGGGUGAGUAAUAUAUCGGAACGUGCCCAGUCGUGGGGGAUAACGUAGCGAAAGGUAGGCUAAUACCGCAUACGAUCUAAGGAUGAAAGCGGGGGAUCGCAAGACUUCGCGCGAUUGGAGCGGCCGAUAUCAGAUUAGGUAGUUGGGGGGGUAAAGGCCCACCAAGCCAACGAUCUGUAGAUGGUCUGAGAGGACGACCAGCCACACUGGAACUGAGACACGGGCCAGACUCCUACGGGAGGAAGCAGGGGGGAAUUUUGGACAGUGGACGCAAGUCUGAUCCAGCCAUUCCGCGUGCAGGAUGAAGGCCCUCGGGUUGUAAACUGCUUUUGUACGGAACGAAAAGGUCUCUCUUAAUACGGGGGGCUCAUGACGGUACCGUAAGAAUAAGCACCGGCUAACUACGUGCCAGCCGCCGCAGUAA